GACGAACGCUGGCGGCGUGCCUAAUACAUGCAAGUUGAGCGCUGAAGGUUGGUACUUGUACCAACUGGAUGAGCAGCGAACGGGUGAGUAACGCGUGGGGAAUCUGCCUUUGAGCGGGGGACAACAUUUGGAAACGAAUGCUAAUACCGCAUAAAAACUUUAAACACAAGUUUUAAGUUUGAAAGAUGCAAUUGCAUCACUCAAAGAUGAUCCCGCGUUGUAUUAGCUAGUUGGUGAGGUAAAGGCUCACCAAGGCGAUGAUACAUAGCCGACCUGAGAGGGUGAUCGGCCACAUUGGGACUGAGACACGGCCCAAACUCCUACGGGAGGCAGCAGUAGGGAAUCUUCGGCAAUGGACGAAAGUCUGACCGAGCAACGCCGCGGGAGUGAAGAAGGUUUUCGGAUCGUAAAACUCUGUUGGUAGAGAAGAACGUAGGUGAGAGUGGAAAGCUCAUCAAGUGACGGUAACUACCCAGAAAGGGACGGCUAACUACGUG
rnacentral:rRNA from 1 species